UAAGCGGAGGAAAAGAAACUAACAAGGAUUCCCCUAGUAACUGCGAGUGAACAGGGAUUAGCCCAGCACCGAAGCCUGUGGUUAUUUGACUGCAAGGCAAUGUGGUGUUUAGGUUUGUUCUUGGCAUUACUGCUCUGCCCCAAGUCCAGCAAUGAGUACGGCAUACCGUUCUGGCCCAUAGAGGGUGAAAGGCCCGUGGGGGUAGAGACCAAGCAUGACAGUUUUGUCCAGAGCUUACCUUGGAGUCGGGUUGUUUGAGAAUGCAGCCCAAAGUGGGUGGUAAACUCCAUCCAAGGCUAAAUACUUGCACGAGUCCGAUAGUAAACAAGUACCGUGAGGGAAAGUUGAAAAGUACUUUGAAGAGAGAGUAAACAGUGCGUGAAACCGCUCAGAGGUAAACGGGUGGAGUUGAACUGCGAUCCUUGGGAAUUCAGCUGAUGAGCAUGAUUUGUGCUUGGGCAUAUUGACCGCCCUUCAGUGUCUGCUUAGCUGCGGGUGCCUGCCUCUGGUGGGUAUGUGUGGUGCGCUUAUCAUGUGCCGCACGCAUUGGAGGGUGUAUGAGUCUGCUUGUCGGUGCACUUUCUCAGGGUGUUCACCACGACCGGCACUGCUGUCUGUCUGCUUUGGUCAAACUGAUCAGGUCUGAUUAACGUUGGGCUUGGUUGGGUUGGCAGGUGACUCACUGGUCCAUUCUGUGGGCUAUGAGUGUUACUAGCCGGCUUUAGUGGAUCUGUACGGUGUGUCGGAGACGGCGGCUUUGCAUAUGCGCUCUGUCCUUCAGGCGUGGUUGAGUCUGGUCGACUUGUUGCUAGUUUCGGCUGGUCAGUUGAUGGCUUGAUCAUGUUCAGUUGGCAGUGGUGUGUGUGUCUUAGUUUGGGCCAAUAGUCUGUGGUGUUGUGGUAGACUAUCCACCUGACCCGUCUUGAAACACGGACCAAGGAGUUUAACAUGUGCGCGAGUCAUUGGGCUUUACGAAACCCAAAGGCGCAGUGAAGGUAAAGGUUUGGCUUGUCCAGGCUGAGGUGAGAUCCUGUUGUUUUGCUCAUUCAUUCCAAGCUGCGAGCAGCAGGCGCAUCACCGGCCCGUCCCAUGACGUAGACAUGUGGCCUUGUGCCAUGUGCACCGUCGGGGCGGAGCAAGAGCGUACAUGUUGAGACCCGAAAGAUGGUGAACUAUGCUUGCGAAGGUUGAAGCCAGAGGAAACUCUGGUGGAGGACCGUAGCGAUUCUGACGUGCAAAUCGAUCGUAUAACGUGAGUAUAGGGGCGAAAGACUAAUCGAACCAUCUAGUAGCUGGUUCCCUCCGAAGUUUCCCUCAGGAUAGCUGGCAUUCUGAGAUAUAAACAGUUUUAUCCGGUAAAGCGAAUGAUUAGAGGCAUUGGGGAGAAAACAUCCUCAACCUAUUCUCAAACUUUAAAUGGGUGAGAAGCUUAACUCGCUUAAAUGGAGUUUUGCAUUGAAUGUGAGUGCCAAGUGGGCCAUUUUUGGUAAGCAGAACUGGCGCUGUGGGAUGAACCAAACGUGCGGUUAAGGUGCCUAACGCGACGCUCAUGAGAUACCACAAAAGGUGUUGGUUGGUCCAGACAGCAGGACGGUGGCCAUGGAAGUCGGAAACCGCUAAGGAGUGUGUAACAACUCACCUGCCGAAUCAACCAGCCCUGAAAAUGGAUGGCGCUCGAGCGUUGGACCUAUACCGUACCGUUGCUGCAAGCUGGGCCUAAGCAGUGUGAGGGCAAGCUGACUUGGUCCAGGCACGGAGUGGCGGCGACGAGUAGGAGGGUCGCUGUGGCUAGCGGGAAGCCUCAGGCGUAAGCCUAGGUGAAGCAACCACAGGCGCAGAUCUUGGUGGUAGUAGCAAAUAUUCAAGUGAGAACCUUGAAGGCCGAAGUGGAGAAGGGUUCCAUGGGAACAGCAGUUGGCCAUGGGUCAGGCGGUCCUAAGUGAUCCGGUAAAUCGGAACAGAGACGGGGUGCCUGACAUUGUCCGCUUGCGGGCUUUGUUAGUAUUGCUGCUAAAUUGUACUGUUGCAACGCAGCCCCCUGUAGCGAAAGGGAAUCGGGUUAAUAUUCCCGACCCUGUCCACGGAGAUUGGUGCAUGUUGGAUCUUUGAUUCAGUGUGUGCCCAGCGCGGUAACGCAACCGAACUCGGAGACGUCGGCGGGAGUUCUGGGAAGAGUUCUCUUUUCUUUGUUAGGAGUGCAUCCACCCCCUGGAAUCGGCUUGUCCGGAGAUAGGGGGCUAGCCUCCGUAAAGCACCACCCUUCUUGUGGUGUCCGGAACGCUCCUGUCGGCCCUUGAAAAUCCGAGCCAGGCAGUAUAAUUUUCGUGGCAGGCCGUACCCAUAUCCGCAGCAGGUCUCCAAGGUGAACAGCCUCUGGCAAUUGAACAAUGUAGGUAAGGGAAGUCGGCAAAUUGGAUCCGUAACUUCGGGAGAAGGAUUGGCUCUGGGGGCCGAGUCAGACAGGCCGAGAUCAGAUACGUGUCGGUCCAGUUGGAGGCUGGUUUCUUUGCUGCUUUGUGCGCUUCGGUGUUCAUUGUUGUGGAGUUACUGGACUCUGACCGCGAUCGAUCGUGGGCGGUUUCAGCUGUUAGUGUUGUAUGGCUAGCAACGCGCGUGGACUUGCUCUGCGUUGCGUCAAGCGGCUGUGCUUCCAUUGUUUGGCGCG
rnacentral:rRNA from 1 species